AUGGAUCAUUAGCAAACGCAUCCUAUGCGCGAGCACCCUUGUGGUAUAGAGAGAUUGAUUGGUGCGGCUACUUGGCCGCAUCCUACAAACCCUUUAAUCCAUUUAUCAUUACUGCUGAAGCAACCUUGCGGGCUCUUGAGCCCUCAAGUAAAACACCCAAUGCUAUAUACAACUGCUAGCAACGGAUCACUCGGCUCUC
rnacentral:misc_RNA from 1 species